GGUAAAAUGGCUGAGCUUAGGCAUUAAACUGUAAAUUUAACAACGGGUUGUUCCCUUUUACCA
rnacentral:tRNA from 1 species